UACAGAGGGUGCAAGCGUUGUUCGGAAUUAUUGGGCGUAAAGCGCGUGUAGGCGGCUUUGCAAGUCGGGGUGUGAAAGCCCUCAGCUUAACUGAGGAAGUGCGCCCGAAACUGCAGAGCUUGAGUACCGGAGAGGAUGGCGGAAUUCCCCAAGUAGAGGUGAAAUUCGUAGAUAUGGGGAGGAACACCGGUGGCGAAGGCGGCCAUCUGGACGGAUACUGACGCUGAGACGCGAAAGCGUGGGUAGCAAACAGG
rnacentral:rRNA from 1 species